UUGUUUCUUGUUUCCGUUUA
rnacentral:siRNA from 1 species